AGAGGACAGUACACUGUGACACAGACUCCUUUGAUGAAAGCUGUUCUCCCAGGACAGACAGUCUCUCUGAACUGUAAAACCAGCAGGGAUGUGUAUCCUAACUGUGGUUCGUCUUUGCCCUGUAUGGCCUGGUACCAACAGAAACCUGGAUCCAUUCCCGAACUCCUUGUUUAUCAAGGAAGUACUCUUAACUCUGGGACUCUGGGAGGAAACGGGUACAGAAGUAUCUAUAUCCACAGUAAAACAAGUCCUAUAUCGACAUAACCUGAAAGGCCGCUCAGCAAGAAAGAAGCCACUGCUCCAAAACCGCCAUAAAAAAGCCAGACUUCAGUUUGCAACUGCACAUGGGGACAAAGAUCAGCAUCAUGUUCUGAAUCAUGUUCUGAAUGUUCUGAGUACUAUGGUGUUGAAGGCUGAGCUAUAGUCAAUGAACAGCAUUCUUACAUAGGAACAAUGGUGGCCAUCUUCAAGCAAGUGGGGACAGCAGACUGGGAAAGGGAGAGAUUGACUAUGUCCAUAAACACUCCAGCCAAUUGGUCUGCACAGCCCAAUUCAGAUCUUUUUUUCACUAGUUGGUCGUCUGACCAAUUCAAUCAGCUCUGAUGUCAAAAGAUCUGAUGUGAUUGGUCAAGAGACAAAUGAAUGGGAAAAAGAUCAGAUUUGGUCUGUCUGUGUAGACGCACCCAGUGUCCCUCUGGGAUCAUGAAGAGUCCAUAUAACUGUGUCUCCUGCAGUGAAAACUGUUUCGGUGGGUUACUCAGUCAGUCUCAGCUGUAAGACCAGCAGUGCUGUAAACAUUUACAGACAAAGACAGAGGUUGGCCUGGUAUCAACAGAAAUGGAGAAGCUUCUAGACUCCUUACAUAUUUCAAUAGUGCUCUUAACUCUGGGAUACCAUCUAGAUUCAGUGGCAGUGGAUCUGGGAGUGACUUCACUCUGACCAUCAGUGGAGUCCAGACUGAAAAUGCAGGAGAUUACUACUGUCAGAGUUUACACAUCCCCAAUAGUAAACAUGUGUUCACACAGUGAUACAGAGCCGUACGAAAACCUCCCUCAGUCAGACUGCACAGUGACUUUACUGAUACAGCUGGGACCUACUGCAGGUGCUGAGGAGGAAGAGACAGAGACAUGGAACACUGACUGAACUAAAAUACACUGAGCUAAAUAUAUCAGUGAUGCUGACAAUAUGUCAACUAUUUCACCCUCAUGCUAAAGCAUUCCUGAACUGAUAACACUCACAGGUCCAGACUACAUAAAUAUUACUUCCCUGUUGCUAUGGCCAACAAACGUUUUCAUAACAUGUCACACAAUAAGUUGAAUGGACUCCAUCUACAGUGCCUUGCGAAAGUAUUCGGCCCCCUUGAACUUUGCGACCUUUUGCCACAUUUCAGGCUUCAAACAUAAAGAUAUAAAACUGUAUUUUUUUGUGAAGAAUCAACAACAAGUGGGACACAAUCAUGAAGUGGAACGACAUUUAUUGGAUAUUUCAAACUUUUUUAACAAAUAAAAAACUGAAAAA